AGCAUUUGUAUGUGGCUUCCCCUCACUUCAGCUCCUUAGUUUGGCAUUCUUGGCCUUCCAUAAAAUGACCCUCGUCUAUCUCUGUCACAUGAUAUCUCCUUACCUCUUGAAAAGAGUCAACUGCCCUAGCUAGAGUAACCUACUCAUUGUCUUCUAAACAUGGUUUAUCCACUCCUGCUUUAAUCUGUCUUCCAAGGCCAUUUCCCCUGCAGGAGGUACUAUCCUCCACUCUCUUAAGUUUCACCUUCUGUGGGAAAAUUUCAUGUCCACCCGGGUGAUUUCUGCAGUCAUUGACUUUCUGUAGCAUUUCCUGUCUCUCAGUCAUUUGGUACUUAUAAUUUCUUAAAUUUGUAGUGACCUCUUUUUUUUAUGUAAGUGAAUUAUCUCUGCAGCUAGACUGAGUAUGAUAGAGAUCAUGUCUCAGCAAUUUUUAAAUGCGUAAUGUACAUAAUGGGUGUUGAAUAGAGUUUUCAUGCUUUGUUUCAUUUUUGCAAAACAUUUAUGGAAUACUUAACGAAUGCCAGUGCUAGGCUCUAAGAACAUAAAGGCAAAUGAACUGGUUUUUGUUUCUUAGGCUAGUGGUCUCCUGAGGGAGAUGUUGCACAGAUAUUUCAAUAUACAGUUGGCCCUCUGUAUCUGCGGGUUCCACAUUCGUGGAUACAACCAACUGUGGAUGGAAAAUAUUGGGGAAAAAAUUUUCAGAAAGUUCAAAAAGCAAAACUUGAAUUUGCCAAGUGCAGGCAACUGUGUACGUAGCAUUUACAUUUUAUUUACAGCUAUUUACAUAGCAUUUACAUUGGAUUAGGUAUUAUAAGUAAUCUAAAGAUGCUUUAAAGUAUACAGGAGGAUGGGGAGGAUGUACAAAGGCUAUAUGCAAGUACUAUACCAUUUUAUAUAAGGGACUUGAGCAUUUGGGGAUCAAUCCCCUGCUGAUACCAAGGGGUAGCUGUAAUGUGGUAAAUACCAAGGUAAAUGUUUUCAAGGGAUGCCAUGAGUAUAUUGAGGGAGGUGGAACUUUUACUGCCUGGGAGUUCAGAGAUAGCUUCUGGAGUUGAACUCAUGAGUUCAGUCUUACAGGAUGAGUAGGAUUAGUCAGGUAAAGAAAGAAGAGAAGCUUUACCGGCAGCAUCCGACGGCAGGAUGUCUCACAGGAAGUUCUCUGCUCCCAGGCAUGGGUCCCUGGGCUUUCUGCCUCGGAAGCACAGCAGCUGGCACCACGGGAAGGUGAAGAGCUUCCCCAAGGAUGACUCUUCCAAGCCCGUGCACCUCACAGCCUUCCUCGGCUACAAGGCUGGCAUGACCCCCAUUGUGAGGGAGGUCGAUAGGCCAGGGUCCAAGGUGAACAAGAAGGAAGUUGUGGAGGCUGUGACCAUCGUGGAGACGCCACCCAUGGUCAUUGUGGGCUACGUGGAAACACCUCGAGGCCUCCGGACCUUUAAGACCAUCUUUGCUGAGCAUAUCAGUGAUGAAUGCAAAAGGCACUUCUAUAAGAACUGGCAUAAAUCUAAGAAGAAGGCCUUCACCAAAUACUGUAAGAAGUGGCAGGAUGUAGAUGGCAAGAAGCAGCUGGAGAGGGACUUCAGCAGCAUGAAGAAGUACUGCCAGGUCAUUCGUGUCAUUGCCCACACCCAGAUGCGCCUGCUUCCUCUACGCCAGAAGAAGGCCCACCUCAUGGAGAUCCAGCUGAACGGAGGCACUGAGGCCGAAAAACUGGACUGGGCCCGAGAGAGGCUAGAGCAGCAGGUCCCUGUGAACUAAGUGUUUGGGCAGGAUGAGAUGAUUGAUGUCAUUGGGGUGACCAAGGGCAAAGGCUACAAAGGGGUCACCAGCCGUUGGCACACCAAGAAGCUGCCCCGUAAGACCCACCGAGGGCUGCGAAAGGUUGCCUGUGUUGGGGCGUGGCAUCCUGCACGGGUGGCCUUCUCUGUGGCUCAGGCUGGGCAGAAAGGCUACCAUCACCACACCGAGAUCAACAAGAAGAUCUACAAGAUUGGCCAGGGCUACCUCAUCAAGGAUGGCAAACUGAUCAAGAACAAUGCCUUUACUGAUUACGAUCUGUCUGACAAGAGCAUCAACCCUCUGGGUGGCUUUGUCCACUACGGUGAAGUGACCAAUGACUUUGUCAUGCUCAAAGGCUGCGUGGUGGGAACCAAGAGCUCACCCUUGGCAAGUCCUUGCUGGUGCAGACCAAACGGCGGGCCCUGGAGAAGACUGACCUUAAGUUUAUUGACACCACCUCCAAAUUUGGCCAUGGCUGCUUCCAGACUGUGGAGGAGAAGAAAGCGUUCAUGGGACCACUUAAGAAGGACCGAAUUGCAAAGGAAGAAGGGGCCUAAUGUCAGAACAGAUUAUACAGCUGGUAGAAUCUCAAUAAAGUUAUUUUCCAGUG